rnacentral:rRNA from 1 species
UACGUAGGGGGCAAGCGUUGUCCGGAAUCAUUGGGCGUAAAGCGCGCGUAGGCGGCCCGAUAAGUCUGCUGUGAAAGUCCAGGGCUCAACCCUGGAAUGCCGGUGGAUACUGUCGGGCUAGAGUUCGGAAGAGGCAAGUGGAAUUCCUGGUGUAGCGGUGGAAUGCGCAGAUAUCAGGAGGAACACCCUAUAGCGAAGGCAGCUUGCUGGGGACGACACUGACGCUGAGGCGCGAAAGCGUGGGGAGCGAACAGG